rnacentral:misc_RNA from 1 species
UAAAUCUUUGUCAUUCUUAUUUUCAUGAAUCAUAGUCUAGCAUAGGACAAUUAGCGAGGGACAACAUUUCAGAAAAUACAAGAUCAGCAGAAACAACAGUAGCAACAGUACUAGGAACAUUAAGUAACCAGAAAUCUGCCCGCCCUACCAACAAUCUAAUGGUGCAUACGCUUGUAAAUAAUAUAUAUGGUUGAGUUGACGCCUUCAAGCAACUCGGUAAUUUUGCAUAAACUCAACAAAAUG